rnacentral:rRNA from 1 species
CGGGGCGUGAUCACUCGUGCCGUGAGGUGUUAGGUUAAGUCCUGCAACGAGCGCAACCCCUGUCACUAGUUGCCAUCAUUAAGUUGGGGACUCUAGUGAGACUGCCUACGCAAGUAGAGAGGAAGGUGGGGAUGACGUCAAAUCAUCACGGCCCUUACGCCUUGGGCCACACACGUAAUACAAUGGCCGGUACAGAGGGCAGCUACACAGCGAUGUGAUGCAAAUCUCGAAAGCCGGUCUCAGUUCGGAUUGGAGUCUGCAACUCGACUCUAUGAAGCUGGAAUCGCUAGUAAUCGCGCAUCAGCCAUGGCGCGGUGAAUACGUUCCCGGGCCUUGUACACACCGCCCGUCAAGCCAUGGAAGUCUGGGGUACCUGAAGUCGGUGACCGUAACAGGAGCUCCUAUGUCGA